GGUUUCGUGGUGUAGUUGGUAUCAUGUCCUUCUAUUACACUGAAGGUCUCCGGUUCAAGUCCGGGUGAAGCCA
rfam:Ipomoea nil DNA, scaffold: scaffold1570, cultivar: Tokyo-kokei standard.